rnacentral:tRNA from 1 species
GGGCCCGUAGCUCAGCGGCAGAGCGGUCGGCUCAUAACCGAUUGGUCGUUGGUUCGAAUCCAGCCGGGCCCACCA